ACGGGUGAGUAACGCGUAGGAAUAUGCCUUAAAGUGGGGGACAACUGGGGGAAACUCAAGCUAAUACCGCAUAAUGUCUACGGACAAAAGCUGGGGACCUUCGGGCCUGGCGCUUUAAGAUUAGCCUGCGUCCGAUUAGCUAGUUGGUAGGGUAAAGGCCUACCAAGGCGACGAUCGGUAGCUGGUCUGAGAGGAUGGCCAGCCACACUGGAACUGAGACACGGUCUAGACUCCUACGGGAGGCAGCAGUGGGGAAUAUUGGACAAUGGGGGCAACCCUGAUCCAGCAAUGCCGCGUGUGUGAAGAAGGCCUGAGGGUUGUAAAGCACUUUCAGUGGGGAGGAGGGGUGCCAGGUUAAGAGCUAGGUAUCUGGACGUUACCCACAGAAGAAGCACCGGCUAACUCCGUGCCAGCAGCCGCGGUAAUACGGAGGGUGCAAGCGUUAAUCGGAAUUACUGGGCGUAAAGAGUGCGUAGGUGGUUUGAUAAGUUAUCUGUGAAAUCCCUGGGCUUAACCUGGGCAGGUCAGAUAAUACUGUUGAACUCGAGUAUGGGAGAGGGUAGUGGAAUUUCCGGUGU
rnacentral:rRNA from 1 species